GAGUAACGCUGGCGGCCUGCUUACCACAUGCAAGUCGAACGAACCCUUCGGGUUAGUGGCGGACGGGUGAGUAACGCGUGAGAAUCUGCCCUCAGGAGGGGGACAACAGCUGGAAACGGCUGCUAAUACCCCAUAUGCCGCGAGGUGAAAUGAAUUUCGCCUGAGGAUGAGCUCGCGUCUGAUUAGCUAGUUGGUGUAGGUAAUGGCUCACCAAGGCAUCGAUCAAGUAGCUGGUCUGAGAGGAUGAUCAGCCACACUGGGACUGAGACACGGCCCAGACUCCUACGGGAGGCAGCAGUGGGGAAUUUUCCCGCAAUGGGCGAAAGCCUGACGGAGCAACGCCGCGUGAGGGAUGAAGGCCUCUGGGCUGUAAACCUCUUUUAUCAAGGAAGAAGAUCUGACGGUACUUGAUGAAUAAGCCACGGCUAAUUCCGUGCCAGCAGCCGCGGUAAUACGGGAGUGGCAAGCGUUAUCCGGAAUUAUUGGGCGUAAAGCGUCCGCAGGCGGCCCUUCAAGUCUGCUGUUAAAAAGUGGAGCUUAACUCCAUCAUGGCAGUGGAAACU
rnacentral:rRNA from 1 species